AGCCACAAGUGGUUCCUCUUUGUAUUUAGCGUUUGAGGCAUUCCCGGAAUCAUUCCCUUUACGGUUAGUUUGCUGCAGCUAAAUCCUAAUGAGAAUGCUUGCCAGAGAAAAGCAACAAGGAUGACCUACAAUGAAUAAAAAGAGAAAAUUUCCUGUUUCAAAAAUCCAGUCAAAGAAUAUUAGCAGCUUUCAAGACAGCAAUGAAUACUUGCAAACAUAUAGAAAAAUAUUUUUGUCAUUCUGCAAGAGCACACAUUUUAUAAAUUUUUCCUCAAGGAUAUCAACAUGCCAUCCCAGAGUUAUGAACUGACCUUAUUCUCAACAGUGAUAAUUGUGGCAGCAAUAUUUAUAUUUCUGGUGGGAGCAGUGACUAUACUUCUCAAGUGUGUCAGAAUUAUUAUUUCUCGGUUAUCUCUGCUCUUUGGAAGUUCAUCUCAUCCAAAACAGGAAGUCCAGUUUUAUGACAAGAAAUCAGACUAACCAGAAGAAAGGUCUUCAAUGUGUUCAGUUUUGUUAGAAGAACUUUUUUCAAUGUGUUCAGUUUAAUUUUACGUGUGCAUUUUUUAUUUUCCUUAUGUUAAUUUAUUUUAUGCAUUAAAAAUUUGAAAUACAUCACUAUUUCCUGGUCAUUUUAAUGAAAAACACA